rnacentral:rRNA from 1 species
GACGUAGGGCGCGAGCGUUGUCCGGAUUUAUUGGGCGUAAAGAGCUCGUAGGCGGUUUGUCGCGUCGGCUGUGAAAACUCGGGGCUCAACUCCGAGCUUGCAGUCGAUACGGGCAGGCUAGAGUUCGGCAGGGGAGACUGGAAUUCCUGGUGUAGCGGUGAAAUGCGCAGAUAUCAGGAGGAACACCGGUGGCGAAGGCGGGUCUCUGGGCCGAUACUGACGCUGAGGAGCGAAAGCGUGGGGAGCGAACAGG